CUCGUAGGCGGUUCGAUAAGUCGGGUGUGAAAACUUUGGGCUCAACCCAAAGCGUGCAUUCGAUACUGUUGUGACUAGAGUUCGGUAGGGGAGUGGGGAAUUCCUAGUGUAGCGGUGAAAUGCGCAGAUAUUAGGAGGAACACCGGUGGCGAAGGCGCCACUCUGGGCCGAAACUGACGCUGAGGAGCGAAAGCGUGGGUAGCAAAACA
rnacentral:rRNA from 1 species